UUCUGCCUGGGCUUGAGCAACGGCCUUGGGAA
rnacentral:sRNA from 1 species